GACGUAGGGAGCGAGCGUUGUCCGGAUUCAUUGGGCGUAAAGAGCGUGUAGGCGGUCCGGUAAGUCCGCUGUGAAAGUCGGGGGCUCAACCCUCGAAUGCCGGUGGAUACUGUCGGGCUAGAGUGCGGAAGAGGCGAGUGGAAUUCCUGGUGUAGCGGUGAAAUGCGCAGAUAUCGGGAGGAACACCAGAGGCGAAGGCGGCUACCUGGACAAUUGCUGACGCUCAGGCACGAAAGCGUGGGGAGCAAAAGGG
rnacentral:rRNA from 1 species